rnacentral:rRNA from 1 species
AGGAUGAACGCUAGCGACAGGCUUAACACAUGCAAGUCGAGGGGCAGCGGGGUUGUAGCAAUACAACUGCCGGCGACCGGCGCACGGGUGAGUAACACGUAUGUAACCUGCCCUCUGCAGGGGGAUAAGCGGAAGAAAUUCCGUCUAAUACCGCAUAAUACAAUUUGGAGACAUCUCCGGGUUGUCAAAGGAGUGAUCCGGCAGAGGAUGGACAUGCGGCGCAUUAGCUAGUCGGCGGGGUAACGGCCCACCGAGGCUACGAUGCGUAGGGGUUCUGAGAGGAAGGUCCCCCACACUGGUACUGAGACACGGACCAGACUCCUACGGGAGGCAGCAGUGAGGAAUAUUGGUCAAUGGGCGGAAGCCUGAACCAGCCAAGUCGCGUGAGGGAAGACGGUCCUAUGGAUUGUAAACCUCUUUUGCAGGGGAGCAAGGCGCGGUACGUGUACCGCGAAGGAGAGUACCCUGAGAAAAAGCAUCGGCUAACUCCGUGCCAGCAGCCGCGGUAAUACGGAGGAUGCGAGCGUUAUCCGGAUUUAUUGGGUUUAAAGGGUGCGCAGGCGGACUGUUAAGUCAGCGGUAAAAUGUCGGUGCUCAACACCGGCCGGCCGUUGAAACUGGCAGCCUUGAGUGAGCGAGAAGUAUGCGGAAUGCGUGGUGUAGCGGUGAAAUGCAUAGAUAUCACGCAGAACUCCGAUUGCGAAGGCAGCAUACCGGCGCUCAACUGACGCUCAGGCACGAAAGCGUGGGUAUCGAACAGGCUUAGAUACCCUGGUAGUCCACGCAGUAAACGAU